UACGGGAGGCAGCAGUGGGGAAUAUUGCACAAUGGGCGAAAGCCUGAUGCAGCUAUGCCGCGUGUAUGAAGAAGGCCUUAGGGUUGUAAAGUACUUUCAUCGGGGAGGAAAAAACAAAACUAAUAAUUUUAUUUCUUGACGUUACCCGAAAAAGAAGCACCGGCUAACUCCGUGCCAGCAGCCGCGGUAAUACGGAGGGUGCUAGCGUUAAUCAGAAUUACUGGGCGUAAAAGAGCACGUAGGUGGUUUUUUUAAAGUCAGAUGUGAAAUCCCUGGGCUUAGCCUAGGAACUGCAUUUUGAAACUGAAAUACUAGAGUAUCGUAGAGGGAGGUAGAAUUCUAGGUGUAGCGGUGAAAUGCGUAGAUAUCUGGAGGAAUACCUGUGGCGAAAGCGGCCUCCUAAACGAAUACUGACACUGAGGUGCGAAAGCGUGGGGAGCAAACAGGGAUUAGAUACC
rnacentral:rRNA from 1 species